rnacentral:rRNA from 1 species
GAUAAACGCUGGCGGCGUGCAUUACCAAUGCGAGUCGUGCGAUCUUUCUUCGGAAAGGAAGCGGCGUACGGGUGCGUAACACGUGGGUGACCUGCCGUGAUGUGGGGGAUACCCGCCCGAAAGGGUGGCUAAUACCGCAUGAGCUUUCUGAUCUUGUUUGGAAAGCAAAGCCUGCAAGGGCGCAUUACGAGGGGCCUGCGGCCUAUCAGCUUGUUGGUGGGGUAAUGGCCUACCAAAGCGACGACGGGUAGCCGGUCUGAGAGGACGGACGGCCACAGUGGGACUGGGACAUGGUCCACAGCUCUACGGGGUUUAGCAUGGAGGAAUCUUGCGCAACGGUCUAACGACCGGCGCAGCAACGCCGCGUGGGGGACGACGCGUCUCGGCGUGUAAACCCCUGUUGCUCGGGAAGAAGUACUCGUGGGGAGAUCCUGCGAGGAAGACGGUACCGGGCGAGGAAGCACCGGCUAACUACGUGCCAGCCGCCGCUGUAAG